UACGGAGGGAGCUAGCGUUGUUCGGAUUUACUGGGCGUAAAGGGCGCGCAGGCGGCUUUGUUUGUCAGGCGUGAAAGCCCCGGGCUUAACCUGGGAACUGCGUUUGAUACGGCAGGGCUAGAGUUCGGGAGAGGAGAGUGGAAUUCCCAGUGUAGAGGUGAAAUUCGUAGAUAUCAGGAGGAACACCAAUGGCGAAGGCAGCUCUCUGGUACAUGACUGACACUGAGACGCGAAAGCGUGGGGAGCGAACAGG
rnacentral:rRNA from 1 species